CAUAACAGGCCAGGCUGGUCUCGAACUCCUGAUCUCAUGAUCUGCCCACUUCAGCCUCCCAAAGUGGAGGGAUUACAGGCAUGAGCCACUGCACCUGGCUGGUUUGUUUCUCUUGAUAGCAGGUCUUGUUAAGAAGAACGAAAGAUUCUGGGUAUAUAUCAGAAUGCUUACUUUUAGCAUCCCCUUGUCAGAAGCAGGAAGGUAUUUUUUUCUGAUCUUCACUGUGAGAAACUGGUAGGGCUUCAGACAUAAACACACAAAAGUAGGGGUGGAUACAGGCUAAGACUGAGCCCACCUGGAGUUUCCAACUCUUAAUCUUGUCUACACUGAACCUUCAGUAAUUUGUCAAUUAUGGUUUAUGUUUUCCUACCGUGGUACAAGCUCCAGUGGUGGUUUCUGCUCCUGGGCUCCUGCUCCAGAACUCCAAAUAUCUGGAUGUCAACACCAUCCCACUUCACCACAAGCUUCGGGGACAGGUCCUAGUUAUUCUGAACCUGUCAAUACCUGGAAUUUACCUAAGGGCCAUUACUGGUUGAGGGCGGACAACCCUCUUAAAAUGGCCUGAUCAUAUUGAAGGGAUGGCAUUUUAUUCCAUAGUUAGGAAAGGUUUUCCCCUCUCUCCUGAGAGACAGAAACAAAGAAGAAUGUACACUCUAUCACAAUAAACAGCCAUCUUAUUACAUUAGGGGUAAUUCCAGCCUUAGGAUGAAGCUGACACCAGGCACAGCAGAAGAUGGUCACAGCACUGACCAGAGAUGGAAAGAACCUGGAUCCUUAAUGACUUCAUUUAGUUACUGAAUCAAUGGCCCCUGAUGCCUGUCCUACCUACUGUGCUCUUCCUGCUAUGUGAGAUCACAAACUUCCUUAAUAGUUAAGCUAGUUUAAGGCGAUUAUUUUUUAUAUACAGCUAAAACUCCCUAUGCAAUAUAAUUGAUAUAACAAUAUUGCCUAAACAGUUUUCCAUUUCAUUCUGCUCAGAACUACUCCAUUAUUUAUAAUGGCUGUAUAGUUUUUCUGAGUAUUAUUGCAUCUUAAUGUACUAAUCCUUCCCAUUAUUUCUAAGCAUUAAAGUCUUACUGAGUUUUUUGGUUUUUCAAAAAUGCUAAAAUAAACAUCCUAUUAUUGCAUAUAUUUA